AGGCUUAACACAUGCAAGUCGAGGGGCAGCAUGGUCUUAGCUUGCUAAGGCCGAUGGCGACCGGCGCACGGGUGAGUAACACGUAUCCAACCUGCCGUCUACUCUUGGACAGCCUUCUGAAAGGAAGAUUAAUACAAGAUGGCAUCAUGAGUCCGCAUGUUCACAUGAUUAAAGGUAUUCCGGUAGACGAUGGGGAUGCGUUCCAUUAGAUAGUAGGCGGGGUAACGGCCCACCUAGUCUUCGAUGGAUAGGGGUUCUGAGAGGAAGGUCCCCCACAUUGGAACUGAGACACGGUCCAAACUCCUACGGGAGGCAGCAGUGAGGAAUAUUGGUCAAUGGGCGAGAGCCUGAACCAGCCAAGUAGCGUGAAGGAUGACUGCCCUAUGGGUUGUAAACUUCUUUUAUAAAGGAAUAAAGUCGGGUAUGGAUACCCGUUUGCAUGUACUUUAUGAAUAAGGAUCGGCUAACUCCGUGCCAGCAGCCGCGGUAAUACGGAGGAUCCGAGCGUUAUCCGGAUUUAUUGGGUUUAAAGGGAGCGUAGAUGGAUGUUUAAGUCAGUUGUGAAAGUUUGCGGCUCAACCGUAAAAUUGCAGUUGAUACUGGAUAUCUUGAGUGCAGUUGAGGCAGGCGGAAUUCGUGGUGUAGCGGUGAAAUGCUUAGAUAUCACGAAGAACUCCGAUUGCGAAGGCAGCCUGCUAAGCUGCAACUGACAUUGAGGCUCGAAAGUGUGGGUAUCAAACAGGAUUAGAUACCCUGGUAGUCCACACGGUAAACGAUGAAUACUCGCUGUUUGCGAUAUACUGCAAGCGGCCAAGCGAAAGCGUUAAGUAUUCCACCUGGGGAGUACGCCGGCAACGGUGAAACUCAAAGGAAUUGACGGGGGCCCGCACAAGCGGAGGAACAUGUGGUUUAAUUCGAUGAUACGCGAGGAACCUUACCCGGGCUUAAAUUGCAGAUGAAUUACGGUGAAAGCCGUAAGCCGCAAGGCAUCUGUGAAGGUGCUGCAUGGUUGUCGUCAGCUCGUGCCGUGAGGUGUCGGCUUAAGUGCCAUAACGAGCGCAACCCUUGUUGUCAGUUACUAACAGGUUCCGCUGAGGACUCUGACAAGACUGCCAUCGUAAGAUGUGAGGAAGGUGGGGAUGACGUCAAAUCAGCACGGCCCUUACGUCCGGGGCUACACACGUGUUACAAUGGGGGGUACAGAGGGCCGCUACCACGCGAGUGGAUGCCAAUCCCCAAAACCUCUCUCAGUUCGGACUGGAGUCUGCAACCCGACUCCACGAAGCUGGAUUCGCUAGUAAUCGCGCAUCAGCCACGGCGCGGUGAAUACGUUCCCGGGCCUUGUACACACCGCCCGUCAAGCCAUGGGAGCCGGGGGUACCUGAAGUGCGUAACCGCGAGGAGCGCCCUAGGGUAAAACUGGUGACUGGGGCUAAGUCA
rnacentral:rRNA from 1 species